rnacentral:rRNA from 1 species
ACUCCUACGGGAGGCAGCAGUGGGGAAUAUUGCGCAAUGGGCGAAAGCUGACGCAGCAACGCGCGCGUGCGGGAUGACGGCCUUCGGGUUGUAANCCGCUUUCACUCAUGACGAAGCUAACGUGACGGUAAUGGGAGAAGAAGCACCGGCCAACNNNNNNCNAGCAGCCGCGGUGAUACGUAGGGUGCGAGCGUUGUCCGGAAUUAUUGGGCGUAAAGAGCUUGUAGGCGGUUUGUCACGUCGGAAGUGAAAACUCAGGGCUUAACCCUGAGCCUGCUUCCGAUACGGGCAGACUAGAGGAAGGUAGGGGAGAAUGGAACUCCUGGUGGAGCGGUGGAAUGCGCAGAUAUCAGGAAGAACACCGGUGGCGAAGGCGGUUCUCUGGACCUUUCCUGACGCUGAGAAGCGAAAGCGUGGGGAGCGAACAGGAUUAGAUACCCUGGUAGUCCACGCCGUAAACGGUGGGCGCUAGGUGUGGGACUCAUUCCACGAGUUCCGUGCCGUAGCUAACGCAUUAAGUGCCCCGCCUGGGGAGUACGGCCGCAAGGCUAAAACUCAAAGGAAUUGACGGGGGCCCGCACAAGCGGCGGAGCAUGUGGAUUAAUUCGAUGCAACGCGAAGAACCUUACCUGGGUUUGACAUAUACCGGAAACACCUGGAGACAGGUGCCCCGCAAGGUCGGUAUACAGGUGGUGCAUGACUGUCGUCAGCUCGUGUCGUGAGAUGUUGGGUUAAGUCCCGCAACGAGCGCAACCCUUGUUCCAUGUUGCCAGCACGUUAUGGUGGGGACUCAUGGGAGACUGCCGGGGUCAACUCGGAGGAAGGUGGGGAUGACGUCAAGUCAUCAUGCCCCUUAUGUCCAGNCNNNNNNCAUGCUACAAUGGCUCAUACAGAGGGCUGCGAGACCGUGAGGUGGAGCGAAUCCCUUANNGUGAGUCUCAGUUCGGAUCGGGGUCUGCAACUCGACCCCGUGAAGUUGGAGUCGCUAGUAAUCGCAGAUCAG